AACGUUGUUGCAGUUAAAAAGCUCGUAGUUGAAGUGAAGUGUGAAUCUCUUGGAUUUUCGUUUGAAUUUCCUUUAGCUUCAUACUCUUUCCAAAUAGUUUGCAUGGGUAUUUACUUAUCUGUGUAUUGCAUUUGGUCAUUUACUGUGAGAAAAUUAGAGUGUUCAAAGCAUACGUUUGUUUGAAUACAUUAGCAUGGAAUAAUUCGAAAAGGCUUUCAUGUUCGAUUUGAUUGGUUUGUUCGUGAAGGCAAGAUUAAAAGGGACAGUUGGGGGUAUUCAUAUUCAAUAGUCAGAGGUGAAAUUCUCGGAUUUAUGGAAGAUGAACUAGUGCGAAAGCAUUUACCAAGGAUGUUUUCAUUAAUCAAGAACGAAAGUUAGGGGAUCGAAGAGGCUUAGAUACCCUCGUAGUCUUAACUAUAAACGAUACCGACUAGGGGUUAGUGGAGGUCAUUUGUCUCUACUAGUACCUUAUGAGAAAUCAAAGUCUUUGGGUUCCGGGGGGAGUAUGGUCGCAAGGCUGAAACUUAAAGGAAUUGACGGAAGGGCACCACCAGGAGUGGAGCCUGCGGCUUAAUUUGACUCAACACGGGGAAACUUACCAGGUCCAGACAUAGGAAGGAUAGACAGAACAAAGCUCUUUCUUGAUUCUAUGGGUGGUGGUGCAUGGCCGUUCUUAGUUGGUGGAUUGAUUUGUCAGGCUAAUUCCGAUAACGAACGAGACCUCCGCCUACUAAAUAGAAAGUUAUAAUUCGUUAUAUCUUUCUUCUUAGAGGGACACUAUACAUGAAGUGUAGGGAAGCUGGAGGCAAUAACAGGUCUGUGAUGCCCUUAGAUGUCCUGGGCUGCACGCGCGCGACACUGAUUGAUUCAACAAGUGGCUGAUUUGAAAGAAUUGGC
rnacentral:rRNA from 1 species